rnacentral:rRNA from 1 species
UACGAAGGGGACUAGCGUUGUUCGGAAUUACUGGGCGUAAAGCGCACGUAGGCGGAUUCGUAAGUCAGGGGUGAAAUCCCGGGGCUCAACCUCGGAACUGCCUUUGAUACUGCGGAUCUCGAGUCCGAUAGAGGUGGGUGGAAUUCCUAGUGUAGAGGUGAAAUUCGUAGAUAUUAGGAAGAACACCGGUGGCGAAGGCGGCCCACUGGAUCGGUACUGACGCUGAGGAGCGAAAGCGUGGGGAGCGAACAGG